AGGGAAUAUGAUGAGAUAAAAAGAGGCAGUGGAUUGGGUCUUUCAUUUUGUGGAAGGUCUGCCGUGAGCUCUUUUUUUUUAACGACAUCUCCUUCCAAUGAGCCCU
rfam:Gossypium arboreum cultivar AKA8401 contig_12046_5, whole genome shotgun sequence.